GUCGAACGAGAAAGGGGAGCAAUCCCUGAGUACAGUGGCGUACGGGUGAGUAACACGUGGAUGAUCUAUCUCUUAGUGGGGAAUAACCCUGGGAAACCGGGGAUAAUACCGCAUAAGCUCGAGAGAGGAAAGCAGCAAUGCGCUGAGAGAGGAGUCCGCGGCCGAUUAGCUAGUUGGCAGGGUAAGAGCCUACCAAGGCAGAGAUCGGUAGCCGGCCUGAGAGGGCACACGGCCACACUGGCACUGAAACACGGGCCAGACUCCUACGGGAGGCAGCAGUGGGGAAUCUUGCACAAUGGGGGAAACCCUGAUGCAGCGACGCCGCGUGAGCGAUGAAGCCCUUCGGGGUGUAAAGCUCUUUCGGCAGGGAAGAUUAUGACGGUACCUGCAGAAGCAGCUGCGGCUAACUACGUGCCAGCAGCCGCGGUAAUACGUAGGCAGCGAGCGUUGUUCGGAGUUACUGGGCGUAAAGGGUGUGUAGGCGGUCCGAUAAGUCCCGUGUGAAAUCCCUCGGCUCAACUGAGGAAUGGCACGGGAAACUGACGGGUUGGAGUUUCGGGAGAGGGAAGCGGAAUUCCGGGUGUAGCGGUGAAAUGCGUAGAUAUCCGGAGGAACACCGGUGGCGAAGGCGGCUUCCUGGACCGACACUGACGCUGAGGCGCGAAAGCUAGGGGAGCAAACGGGAUUAGAUACCCCGGUAGUCC
rnacentral:rRNA from 1 species